CUGCUCUCGAUUUCCCCGUUGGGACCCGGCUCCGCACAGUGGGGUCGCCCGUCCGUCUCCGGCUCCCCCGCGGGCCCGGGGCAGACGUUAGCAGCCGCACUGCCGAUCGACAGAGCCAGCCUUGAGGCCGCCGCCGCGGGCGCUAGAUCUUCUCCCGGGCCCCGCCUUCCUCCUCCCCCCUCACGGAAACGACAGCUGCGGCGGCGGGGCUGGCGCCGCCUCCCUCCACCUACCACGUCUGCCCUCGCCGCUCUAGCCCGGAGCCCCAGCCCGGCCGCGGCGCCUCCGCCUCGCGGCUAGGUCAGCCGGCUCCGCCCGGCUGCCGCCCAGGAUGAACAUCAUGGACUUCAACGUGAAGAAGCUGGCGGCCGACGCCGGCACCUUCCUGAGCCGCGCCGUGCAGGACACGAUAUGUUGACUACAGCUUCUACUUAUCUGUUUGAAGCCACAGAAAAAAGAUUCUUUUUCAAAACUGUAUUUAUAUUAGUCCCUGAGAAUUGGAAGGAAAAUCCUCAGUACAAAAGGCCAAAGUAUGAAAACUAUAGACAUGGUUAUAACCGCCUGAAACGAAUGAAUCAAGCAGCAAAACAAUUCCUGCUGCAGACUGUUGAAAUGGUUCCUGGGUGGGGAUGGUUCACUUUGAUAGUACUGCCACUAUUCUAAAUAAGCUAAUCCAAAUAAUAAGCAGCAAUGAAAGAAAUACACUCUGGAAAAGUUACCUACAUAUGCUCAGGGAGGAACUUCCAUCUGCUCUGGAAUUAAAUCGGCAUUGCAGAUAUCUUCACUGUCUAAAGGGACGGAUCCAAGAUGGCCGAUUAGGAGUAGCUCAAGAUUGCAGCUCCCAGCAAAAGUGCAGAGGGUGAUUGGAGACCUAUACUCCCAAUUUGAUGGAUCUGAAAUAGUGCUGCUGACUAAUGGGGAG